rnacentral:rRNA from 1 species
GAUCAUGGCUCAGGAUGAACGCUAGCUACAGGCUUAACACAUGCAAGUCGAGGGGCAGCAUUGGAGUAGCAAUACUCAGAUGGCGACCGGCGCACGGGUGAGUAACACGUAUCCAACCUGCCGCUUACUCGGGGAUAGCCUUUCGAAAGAAAGAUUAAUACCCGAUGGUAUAAAGAGUUCGCAUGUUCUCUUUAUUAAAGAAUUUCGGUAAGCGAUGGGGAUGCGUUCCAUUAGAUAGUUGGCGGGGUAACGGCCCACCAAGUCUACGAUGGAUAGGGGUUCUGAGAGGAAGGUCCCCCACAUUGGAACUGAGACACGGUCCAAACUCCUACGGGAGGCAGCAGUGAGGAAUAUUGGUCAAUGGACGAGAGUCUGAACCAGCCAAAGUAGCGUGAAGGAUGACUGCCCUAUGGGUUGUAAACUUCUUUUAUAAGGGAAUAAAGUGAGGGACGUGUCCCUUUUUGUAUGUACCUUAUGAAUAAGGAUCGGCUAACUCCGUGCCAGCCGCGGC